rnacentral:rRNA from 1 species
AGAACGAACGCUGGCGGCAUGCCUAACACAUGCAAGUCGAACGCUUGUCCGGCUUCGGCCGGGCAGGAGUGGCGCACGGGUGAGUAACGCGUGGGAACAUACCCCUCGGUCUGGAAUAACUCAGGGAAACUUGAGCUAAUACCGGAUACGGUCGAGAGGCGAAAGAUUCAUCGCCGAGGGAUUGGCCCGCGUUCGAUUAGCUAGUUGGUGGGGUAACGGCUCACCAAGGCGACGAUCGAUAGCUGGUCUGAGAGGAUGAUCAGCCACAUUGGGACUGAGACACGGCCCAAACUCCUACGGGAGGCAGCAGUGGGGAAUAUUGGACAAUGGGCGCAAGCCUGAUCCAGCCAUGCCGCGUGAGUGAUGACGGCCUUAGGGUUGUAAAGCUCUUUCGCUCGGGACGAUAAUGACGGUACCGAGAUAAGAACGCCCCGGCUAACUUCGUGCCAGCAGCCGC